CCCUCUGUGGGCUCUCUGUCCCCUCUCCUUUCCGCCCCUUCCUCCCGUCGGCCCCCAUCUCUCCCUCACCCCUUUCUGUCUCUCUCUGUCUUUCUUUCUCUGUCUCUCCACCCUCCCUCCCCAGUAAAGCUCUAAAAAGGUAACCAUGGCUGUGAUUCUUUUAAUCAGCACAAUGCUCCUCCGGCAUGACUGCUGCAGGCGGCGACCAGCCACGAGAGGCAGCGCCGCGGCAUAACCAACAUGUAUUACAGAGGACAUAGGCCCUGGGAUCUCAUGGCGCAUUACGUACGACCCUCUACAUUCUAGGUGUAAGUUCCUGGAACCGCUGAUCCAAAUUCCAGGAACCUAAAAGUACAAAGUACAGGAUAUCAAGAUAACCAUCUGGGAGUGACUGUUUAACCGCGGAAUGUCCCCACCCGCAGGCGGCGGACAAACAACCACCCGCUUUGCAGUAAGAUGAAGACAAAGCUUCUGGAAGUCCCUAGAAGUGAGCAAAUCAGAAACGUACCCGUACCGAAGUAAUUCUUUGCUGUGGUAAUCCUAUGUUUUUUGCCUUUAAAAAACUAUGUUCAAUUCAGGCUGAGCACCUAUUCCAUCCUCGGUCAACACCUCGGGUCGGGUGUGCUUGCCGAGGUCCCUGACUAGGCUGGUAUUGCGCCCAAAUAAAGCCUUGCUUUUGCAUUCCGGAA